AUGAACUUGCCAAGAGCGGAGCGCCUUCGCUCCACACCUCCGCGCAGCCUCCGGGGCUCCGAUAGCGAAGACGGUGCGAUCGAUAUCCUGGGAGAGGAGGAAGAUGAAGAAGAGGAGGAGGAAGAGGAAGACGAGGAACCCGAGGGAAGCCGGCGGCUCCUAGAGCCGCUGCACCAGCCGGAGCCGCAGAAGGCGCGGCGGGGCGCGGGCGCGAGUGCGCUUCCCGGAGAGCGCACCGAGAGCGGCGGCGGCGGCCCAAGUGACUCCUCCGAGUUUGGCCCCAAGUUCGGGGCACCGAUGGGGUCUGCGGCGGCCUCUGCGGGCGCCCCGCAGCCGGCGAAGCCCCCCUACUCAUACAUCGCUCUCAUCACCAUGGCCAUUCUGCAGAGCCCACACAAGCGCCUCACGCUCAGCGGCAUCUGCGCCUUCAUCAGUGGCCGCUUCCCUUACUACCGUCGCAAGUUCCCCGCCUGGCAAAACAGCAUCCGCCACAACCUCUCGCUCAACGACUGCUUCGUCAAAAUCCCCCGGGAGCCGGGACACCCUGGCAAGGGCAACUACUGGAGCCUGGACCCCGCCUCCCAGGACAUGUUCGACAACGGCAGCUUCCUUCGGCGCAGGAAGCGCUUCAAGCGUCACCACCCGCCUCUGGGAGCCCACCUGCACCGCCCCUUCCGCCUGCCCGCUGCGCCCGCCGCCCUGCAUGCCCCCUACUCGGGCAUGCUGCUCGGGCCGCCGGCCCCGCCGCAGCCUAUCCCGGGGGCCUAUCCCGCCUCCACUCCCGGGAGCCGCCCGUGCGCGCUGCUGCAUCCUCACCCCCUCCGCUACCUGCUGCUCUCUGCCCCGGCCUACGCUGAGGCGCCCAGGAAAGCGCAAGGCGCGGAUCUGGUGACCCCCGGCGCCCUUCCAGUGCUGCAGCCCACGCUAGGCUCCCAGCCUUGGGAGGAGGGCAAGGGGCCGGCGUCGCGGCCGGCAGGCGGAUGCAUCUCCUUCAGCAUCGAGAGUAUCCUGCAAGGGGUCCGGGGAGCUGGUACAGGCGUCGCGCAGAGUCUGCCCCCGACCCCGUGGGGUUACCGCCACCUGCUGCAGCGCCCGUCGUGCCUGUUGCAUCCUGCAGCAGCAGCAGCAGCAGCAGCAGCAGCAGGACUCUGCCAGAGGCUGCGCUCCCAGCAAAGGCGCUCUGCUGGGCCGGCACCUGUCCGCCACCGCGGCGCUCCUGGGGUGUCAGCCUGGAGUAGAGGGCUCUAGGCUGACGUCGCUGGUCGCCCUCUCGGGCGGAGAGGGGACCUCACCGGCCUUUUGACUAGCACCCACACCUGCCCUGGAGCUGACUCCUUGGGGCGGACAGGGAGCCAACCUGGAGGGCGGAGCCACCCGGGCUGGGACCAAGGGUGUGUACCUGCAUCCUACAGCGGAGCAACCACUAAUUUCGGUUCGCUGCGACGGUGCGAUCGAUAUCCUGGGAGAGGAGGAAGAUGAAGAAGAGGAGGAGGAAGAGGAAGACGAGGAACCCGAGGGAAGCCGGCGGCUCCUAGAGCCGCUGCACCAGCCGGAGCCGCAGAAGGCGCGGCGGGGCGCGGGCGCGAGUGCGCUUCCCGGAGAGCGCACCGAGAGCGGCGGCGGCGGCCCAAGUGACUCCUCCGAGUUUGGCCCCAAGUUCGGGGCACCGAUGGGGUCUGCGGCGGCCUCUGCGGGCGCCCCGCAGCCGGCGAAGCCCCCCUACUCAUACAUCGCUCUCAUCACCAUGGCCAUUCUGCAGAGCCCACACAAGCGCCUCACGCUCAGCGGCAUCUGCGCCUUCAUCAGUGGCCGCUUCCCUUACUACCGUCGCAAGUUCCCCGCCUGGCAAAACAGCAUCCGCCACAACCUCUCGCUCAACGACUGCUUCGUCAAAAUCCCCCGGGAGCCGGGACACCCUGGCAAGGGCAACUACUGGAGCCUGGACCCCGCCUCCCAGGACAUGUUCGACAACGGCAGCUUCCUUCGGCGCAGGAAGCGCUUCAAGCGUCACCACCCGCCUCUGGGAGCCCACCUGCACCGCCCCUUCCGCCUGCCCGCUGCGCCCGCCGCCCUGCAUGCCCCCUACUCGGGCAUGCUGCUCGGGCCGCCGGCCCCGCCGCAGCCUAUCCCGGGGGCCUAUCCCGCCUCCACUCCCGGGAGCCGCCCGUGCGCGCUGCUGCAUCCUCACCCCCUCCGCUACCUGCUGCUCUCUGCCCCGGCCUACGCUGAGGCGCCCAGGAAAGCGCAAGGCGCGGAUCUGGUGACCCCCGGCGCCCUUCCAGUGCUGCAGCCCACGCUAGGCUCCCAGCCUUGGGAGGAGGGCAAGGGGCCGGCGUCGCGGCCGGCAGGCGGAUGCAUCUCCUUCAGCAUCGAGAGUAUCCUGCAAGGGGUCCGGGGAGCUGGUACAGGCGUCGCGCAGAGUCUGCCCCCGACCCCGUGGGGUUACCGCCACCUGCUGCAGCGCCCGUCGUGCCUGCCGGACGAUUUUGCAGCAGCAGCAGCAGCAGCAGCAGCAGCAGCAGCAGCAGCAGCAGCAGCAGCAGCAGGACUCUGCCAGAGGCUGCGCUCCCAGCAAAGGCGCUCUGCUGGGCCGGCACCUGUCCGCCACCGCGGCGCUCCUGGGGUGUCAGCCUGGAGUAGAGGGCUCUAGGCUGACGUCGCUGGUCGCCCUCUCGGGCGGAGAGGGGACCUCACCGGCCUUUUGACUAGCACCCACACCUGCCCUGGAGCUGACUCCUUGGGGCGGACAGGGAGCCAACCUGGAGGGCGGAGCCACCCGGGGUCACGCUCUCCUCGCCGCCUGCCCUGGCGCACUCCACCUUCCACAGCUGGGACCAAGGGCCUACAUUCGUUCAUUUAUUCGAUCAACAAACGUCAGAGCGCCGGGUACAGCCGCGGAUGAGCCCCGAGCCGACCCUGAGGCUCUCCCGCGCGCCCUGCAGGAGAUACCGUUUACUUCCUUCCCUUGA